AUAUUGAUGAUGAAAUGUCUUACGAUGAUCAUUUAGAGGUUUAUUUUGAACAACUGGCAAUUCCAGGAAUGAUGGAAUAAAGCAUACGAAGUAGAAGGACUGGAACCUCCAGAAAAAGUACUUUAAGUUACCUACAGGUGAUCCUAGUCAGGUAUGAAUUGAUAAGAAAUGCCUGCACCUUCCCUCCUUCCUAUCUUUCCCUUGCCUACAGAAAAUUAAAAGGCAAAACAAUAGACAUCUGCAUAUUCUUCAUUCAGAUCAACCAGUGGCUAGCAUUUGCCACCUUUUGCAGUUUCUUUCUCUUUCCAUAAGUACUUUCUUCUCUGAAUCAUUUGAAAGCAAAUGAAAACAGUAGCCUAAAGUGUCAGUUUCAACCAGAAAAUAACAGCUCUGAUUUCUCAUGGCUCAUACUCGUCUGAAACGACUCAGGUAGAGGCUGAGGAAGGCCGUGUUGUUUGUCUACCUGGGACUACACCUACUGAAAGAAGUUCUCAAGUUCUGAUUGAGUUCUAAAAUUUUUUGAAGAUUGGAAUUCUUCAUAUGUAAAAAGAGAAGAGAAAGACAUUCUUGAUUUUGGUGACUAGAGUUGUAGAUGCUGGAAGCUUUGCCACUAACAUUGAUGAACCAGAUGCAUGUCACCAGCCCAUCACGGGCACCAUGGGCCCGGCACUGCCACGUUUUCCAAGGAACCUGCCGGAGCUCCUGCGGAAGCUGCUCCUCAGGCGAUGGAGUCCCUUCGCUGGUAGGCCCUUCUUCAGUCACCACAGGAUGCCUGCCAUUCAUGAACAAGAAGGAGAGGACGGGCUUUGAAUAAAAAACAGGAUCCAGGAAAUAUUUGUGAGGCCAUUUGGACUUCAGUGUGAAAUGGUGUUAAAAGAUGAAGUCAUUUAUUCAAGAAGUAAACCUCUGCCACCUGGACUGUGCGCAGACAUUUCAUUGAUUUUGUUUAAUAAACAUUUUCUGGCUUAAAAAAAAAAAAAAAAAAAAAAAAAAAAAAAAAAAAAA
rnacentral:lncRNA from 10 species